UACAACAUGCACAGCAGCAACUUAACAGCUCUACACCUUCAAAGAAUGAAUCAAAGUAGUAGCUUUUGGGAAUUUCUGGUCUUCGUAAUAUUUAUAUUAGUUUCUUGAUAGAUGUUGCAAGAAGUACUGUCAUUCAAUUAUAUUCAUUCAUUUGUUUUGAAUUACAAGAAAAUACGCUAAAGACAUGGUAUUUAUCUAUAGGACAUGCAUGUUCAUUGGAGUAACUAAGUAUCAUAGAAUCUUUUGGUGUAUACGGUUCCUUUUUCACAUGAUAACUCAUUUUGUUGUUACGGAAGUUAAAUUAAAAAUGAAAUUGGCCUGCUUUCUGGUCCUUCGAGUUACAACGUUGACUAGUAAUUCUUCUGUUUCUCUUUCUCUGUGAUAAACUUAUGUGUUGUUUGCUAAUAUAUUAGAAUAAAUUAUCUAAACUUUAACUAGAACAAUUCUAAGCCAAUAGGUACUCACUCGCUCCAAUUAAGUACAUAUUAACUCUUUUAAGCAAUUCAUCAAAUACCUUGUAUGCGUGCUUUUGUAAGUUAAACCACUUUAGUAACGGGUUAUAUCAACUCACCUCAAAACUCCUUGAGUCAAUACGUAGGCCCCAGUCCAAUUUAUACCCGUCAAAUAAUUGAUUCUACAACGACCAGUGCAUUUAAAUUAAUUUCAAAGUUUCACGCCUAAAUAUGGAACUUACUGUUGAUACAGAGAAAGAAGGUAAUUAACUAUCCAAUUCUUAUACUGUACGAUAAUUGAGAAUAGAAAAUUUUAUAUACCUGAGUACAAGAAUUAGUGAUUUGUAAAGAAACCUAGAACUUCCUGUUGCCUGCGUGAGUAAGCUGGCCGUGGUUCUCUGUUCGUGAGAACGAAGAGAAUGCUUGUUCUCGUAUAAGGAUUUUCAAUCCUUUUUGGUUACAAC
rnacentral:lncRNA from 1 species